GACGAACGCUGGCGGCGUGCCUAAUACAUGCAAGUCGAGCGAAUCAAAGGGAGCUUGCUCCCUUUGGUUAGCGGCGGACGGGUGAGUAACACGUGGGCAACCUGCCUGUAAGACUGGGAUAACUUCGGGAAACCGGAGCUAAUACCGGAUAAUUCCUUUCCUCCCAUGAGGAAAGGCUGAAAGACGGUUUACGCUGUCACUUACAGAUGGGCCCGCGGCGCAUUAGCUAGUUGGUUAGGUAACGGCUCACCAAGGCAACGAUGCGUAGCCGACCUGAGAGGGUGAUCGGCCACACUGGGACUGAGACACGGCCCAGACUCCUACGGGAGGCAGCAGUAGGGAAUCUUCCGCAAUGGACGAAAGUCUGACGGAGCAACGCCGCGUGAGUGAUGAAGGUUUUCGGAUCGUAAAACUCUGUUGUUAGGGAAGAACAAGUAUGAGAGUAACUGCUCGUACCUUGACGGUACCUAACCAGAAAGCCACGGCUAACUACGUGCCAGCAGCCGCGGUAAAAC
rnacentral:rRNA from 1 species